rnacentral:rRNA from 1 species
UACAGAGGUCCCGAGCGUUGUUCGGAUUCACUGGGCGUAAAGGGUGCGUAGGUGGCAUGGAAAGUUUGAUGUGAAAGCUCAGGGCUUAACCCUGAAAUGGCAUUGAAUACUGCCGUGCUGGAGGUUUGGAGGGGGGACUGGAAUUCUUGGUGUAGCAGUGAAAUGCGUAGAUAUCGUCAAGAACACCUAUAGCGAAGGCAGCUUACUAGGCUGUAACUGACGCUGAGGCACGAAAGUGUGGGGAUCAAACAGG